rnacentral:rRNA from 1 species
UACGAACCGUACAAACGUUAUUCGGAAUCACUGGGCGUAAAGGGUGCGUAGGCGGGUCUUUAAGUCAGGGGUGAAAUCCUGGAGCUCAACUCCAGAACUGCCUUUGAUACUGAAGAUCUUGAGUCCGGGAGAGGUGAGUGGAACUGCGAGUGUAGAGGUGAAAUUCGUAGAUAUUCGCAAGAACACCAGUGGCGAAGGCGGCUCACUGGCCCGGUACUGACGCUGAGGCACGAAAGCGUGGGGAGCAAACAGG